UUUAGGAAUCUACCAUUGAAGGGCUGGAAGAGAGCAAUGAAAAGCUACAGAGUGAUCUGAAAUUGGCUUUCAAGAGAAUAUCUGAUCUGCAGCAUGCACUACAGAAUGAUGAUGAUGACAGUGAUAGUGAUCUAGGAAGUGAUUCUGAUAGUGACGUUGACAUCCCUAGUUACGAUCCGCGCUAUAAACGUCGCUACUCUUCCCGUAGUUACCGCGGCAGCACAAGCAGCUUGGACUCCACGCCUCGUUUGGGUCGACGCAGGGUGUUAUCAUCGGCAUCUGACGAAUCAGGCACAAGGAAAAAGUGAGCUGUAUUGAUUUUGAUGGAUCUGAGACGGCAAGCCAAGUACACAGUCAACCACGCAAGUUCCGAUGAGGAGGAUUUCGAGCCAAGGAGUACCUCCCGCCCUAGCAGUAUGUACAGCGAGGACAGCAAGGGGAGUAAAGACUCCGGUGAUCUCCUCGCUUGCUCCUCACCACACUCGGAAGAAAAGGACUCCACGCUUACUACACACACAGGAACCAAGAAGAAAGGCUUUGUCGUCAAUCCGGACUACUUGUGAGAAUGAAAUAAGCUCUUUGUCUUAAAUAUUCGAAGCAAUUUACAUGACUGUAUUUUUAUAUAUAAUUACGGCUGCUUAAUCGACUUAGGCCCAUGGAAUGCGAUUUACAGGCAACCAGUUCUAAGAAAAUGCAAACUGCUCACCAACCAAAAGGACCUUGUGUUGAAUGUUCACAUAUGUUUCUUGGGUUCGCAAGACAUUGUUAGAGAAACUACUCACGUGCUAAUAGAGUUAGAUUUGUAGCAUGCACUGCAGUUGGUUGCCUGUAAAAGUUGCCUUGUGAAAAGGCCCUCAAGAAUGUGUUUUCCAUAGUUGAUGUAUUUAACGCACCUCUUAUUGACUCUAAAAGUUCAUGGUCUGUGAAGCAUUAAAUGUGGUUGAAAAUGUUCCUUUCAGCUAUUCCAAUGUUUGCAUUCACUUUAAGAAACUCACACAUGAACGGUCUUAAAAGACUCAGUUUGCUUUAAUAUUUCAAGUUUUCUAAGUGUGGUAUUCCCAUGAGACGUAAUGCGAAAAAAAUGAUGUCAAUGGAACCCAAUGCAAAAUGGGUGAGUUCUUUGAAUAACUGAAAUGGCAUUAAAAGUGCAGACAACUGAGCCUUGAAUUCUAUGUCUAUAACAUUAUAUGCUUUGAAACACUCAAAACACCCGUUUGACCAUAGUCGGCUAACAAUUGAAAGCUGUGUUGUGGUUUCUCAUGCAUUUGAUCAGCAAAUAAACCCAGUUUCAGUUUUACCAGGAAGUGUCUGGGUUUUGCAUGGAGCGUCGCAUUAAAUAUUCAUGAAAGAAUCCUUUCAGCCGAAAAUUUUUGGUGGAAUGUUUUUCUGGCUCUGAUGGUGCGUAACCGGUGCGUAACUGUGUGCAUGAUUUAAAGUCGUUUUAUAGACACAUUACAGGCUAACCUUUUACGGGGAACAUCUCGAUGUGAACAGGGUACGUGCUUGGCCUGUUUAACUUCCUCUGUAGCCAACUCAUUUUGGUGCACUCAUCAGAGUCCGGCUUUUAUGUACGAGUAAAUACGGUUGCACAUUCUGCGUCUAGUCCUCGACUAUAGGGGAAACAUCGCUGAGUACAUUACACUUAAUGGUUUGAGGAGACUACCAAAUUAUAGAUUAUUUGAAAGUGAAUAAUUAGACAUACUCCUUAUUUGAAUACAUGACCAUUUGUCUCUCUCCAGCUAGAGCUUAAAGUCUAAUCGCGAUAUGAUAUUGAGGGGGAUUUCCAAAUAAGUUAAGAUUCAGCUGUCAUGUAUAUAAGCAAUCAGCGUCUGUUUGAUUUUUCUUGAUAUCAGACCAGAUGGCCAAGUGCAGUGAACUGGCUGUGUUCUUUCUAUCAUGCGUCAACCAUCUCUGUCGUGCGCCCUGCCUGCAAAACGUAUUAAACACAUAACCAAAACUAAGGUACCAGACGAUAUCACCUUCCGGACUCAUUUUGGAUAUAUUGCUUUUAUCUUGACAAGUGAAAACAAGAACAUUUUCCAAAUGUUUUGUUAGAACCAUUAAUCAUCAAAAGGUUUUUGAUAAAAGACUACACGGAUCAGUGCAACAAUUGCAUCCACACAGUACACAGUCGACCCUCUUACUGUCUGACCAUUCAAAUGAAACACCUGCAAUACUUGUUGUGAAUGCAUCUGCACAGUACACAGUCAACCCUCCUACUGACUGCCAUUCAAUGACCCAAAAGUUGGUCAAACUUUCUUUGCGCGGGAAUGUUAAUUCCUUUUUCAAAAAAGUCAAGCAUUUGGAUGAAACUUUGAGGUUGUGUGUGGUCUAUAGAAAAUUUAAUUGGCUCACCAUUUUCCUGUUCACGAUUUUUGCAUAAUAUGUUCAGCCACUUUAACACGAAGCGUUUUAUAAUUAUCUUCUGGGGUACUUACACAAAGACAGAUGGUCUUGUCUGGUCUGAGUGAGAUUGAACUUACAGGAAAUUCACUGACUACCGUGGCAUAUAGAUCAAUCAAGGACAUUCAUUUUACACCGCUUCUGCACCCGACCGCGUCGUCAUGUAUUGCUGAUUAAGUGUUUGGCUGAGAACUCACUGCACCAUGUCUUCACAAAAGAACAAUUAAGAAUAAAUAUGUUGGAGGAAAAAACACCUCGGAACACCAGGCGUGCAACUCCUCAAGAUGUGUCUUGAUAUCAGGACUUUCUCAAAAUCUCUUGACCCUUUAAUAUUUCUUGAACACAGUACAGCAGUCACCCGAGGGAGAAAGGGAUAAUUGUGUCCAAACAUGUUGGAAGAAAUUGACUUCUGCAAACCUCUCGAAUGAGGGUGGCGGGCCCCGGACUCUUGAGCUAUUUGGCAGGAGUGUUCGCAUCCUCUAAAUUCCACUCCGAGAUACUCGUGAUCACUUUAGGGUUAAUUGAAAUUUGAAAAUACCAACAUUCUAUAGGCUGGAGACAUAUCUUUUCUCGCAUUUUUCCCCCUGUCAUAUACACCAACGUAACCAAAUCGAGGUUGGAAGGGUUAAAUAGUCUGGGACCUACUUUGAUAUAUGCAUUUAGUGACAAAACUAAAUGGUGUGCUACGUGAACACUUGGUGUUACCAGCUCAUUGUGGGUGUGAGAUGACGGCAAUCUUAUUGAAGUCAUGUUCUCGUAUAUAGCGCUCCACAUUAAUCACAAAAUGUCAGUUCGCUAGAAAUCCUCUUCAGUUACCCGUCAUAACAAGAAGCUUAUUAGCUUGAUUGCUAUUUACGCCCCAGCCCCCCCCCCCCUUCCGUGUCUCUCUAAAUCAACAUUGAUCGCAUGCUCUUUUUGCUUUCCAUAUCUGUUGUUUUUUUCUCUCCACCGCAAAUGUUUGGUGUGGAAGAAUUAGCGAAACACCGUCUCUGAUGUGAUGAUUGUAAUAAGGCACUUCACAUCGUGGCUAAUCACGUUACGCUCAGUCACCGAGCAAAGUCAAAUGCAAGAGUCUUUGGCUGUUUUUCUUCUGCCCCGGUAAUGCAUUUUAAUUACGUAGACAAAAUCUCUUUCUAGAUUAUUAGUGCUAGGUUUGACGCACCUGUUACAUAUACGGAGCCGCUGUCAGUAUUAUAAUUGGGGGUUUGUAUUCGGAGUGAUGUGUGGGACUGGGAGAGUGCUGGGUAAAUACAAUAAAUCAUCCUCGUUAAAUGGACGCUGUUUGAUCCCAAUACCAUGCGGCAUUAUUGUCUUCGUUUGGGUAAAUUGUGUUUCUCCUCAUUUUUACGUCGAUGUAUGACGAGACUGAGUGUCAGAUUGAGAGUCACUGAACACAAGGGUGUCAAAACGUCGGCCCUUUGCGAAUCCACGGCUCCGGAUUCGGCUCAGGCUAGCUUGACACCGCGGUUGUAAAAAUAAUGAACUUGCUUUGUGUACAUGCUCAGGGCUUCAGACGAGAGGCCGGAGCCUGAAGCCGAAGCCGUGGUUUCGAAAAAGGGGCUUUGGUGUGUCGGAACACUAGGGUUGUCGGAACAUUGGUGGUAAACCAAAUUUGGGAUGAAUUGUUAACCCAUGUUUUGAACAUGUACUUAUACAUGUUUAAUGUUUGUUUUAUGAGCUCCUCUUUUUGUACGAUUUGGAAGUAAAAGAAAAAACUUGAUGUUGAACGCUUUUCUGCUUCACUUCAAAAUAAUGCUGAAUAACGUGUAUUUAAAAUUAAAAAAAUUAAAAUAAAAUAAAAAAUGAUUGCUAUAUUGGUGUAAAUACUUGGAUGUAAAUAUUGUAAAGUGUAUAAGUUUAGUAAAGUGUGGAGGUAAAUCUAUGCAUGAUCGUUGAACUGAUAGUAUAAUCUUUGGAAAUUAAUUGAUACAAAUUUAUAGAAGAUUUAUUAUAAUAUUAAAAGGCUUCCCUUUGGGCGCAUCAUCGUAUUAUCACCCCCAUUUGGGUAAACGUGUACUACCCUGUUUGGAACUUAUUUAUUCCAGUGAGGGAUAUCAUUGGAAGUCAUUGGAGAUCCCUAGGAGAAUGUAACCCAUUACUGCUAUAUGGUGGCUUAUAAGGUUGCUAUCACCCGAACUAUCCCAAUUUGGGUAUACCUUUACCCCGAUUGACACUUUGUUCUUCUGAUUGGGGUAUAAAUUGUACCAUUUGACAGAGAAACUGUUGCUAGCACGAAUCACAGGUUCGUUAGCACACAAGUUACCCAAUUUGGAUAUUAUACGUUCACCCUGAUUGGGGUAUCAGUGGUGCCUAACUUAGUAUAUCCUUGACUGAGAGUAACCCAGUCUGUAGGUUUUGCUCUCGCUUGUUGCCAAACUCUCUCAAUCGGGGUACACAUCUACCCCGCGUAAUACACCUUCUCCAAUAGAGGAUACCUAUAGCCCCGAGCAUGAAAACAACUGCAAAGCAAAGAGCUACGUGUUUAAAUACCUGUUUACACCUAUACUACAUAAAGCUAUGUGGCAUAUACAAGAAAUUAAAUUUGUCAACUUGCUGUUCAUGCUUCAUUGUAUGUUUGCUCUAAGCUAUUUGGUUGUCAAACCCUAGAGCGUAUAAUUAUAUGGGGCGUCAUUGACCGCUAUAUUUGAUGAUAAACAACGGGAAAAGUGCACGUGUAUACGCGCUGCGCCACAACUCUCGGCCAGUUAUAGCCUUUCGUGCGUGCACGUUUCAUCAAAGAUGGCGGUAAUGACGUCAUGCAAGCCAUCUAUUACACUUAUGUUCUGUAUGAUCAACAAACUGAAGCCGUAAAAGAAAUUACAUGGGUUUAAACCUGAGCAACACGUUGCAUUACUUGGGAUGUUCUCAUCAUAUAUCGUGGUAUCCCAAGCCCCCAAUAUAGGACUCUUCCUCUGUAUUACGAAAGUGUAAGGCCGCCAGGGCUAGUGGUAUCCCCAAACCCACGGUUAACUUUCAUGUAUAUAAACCCGCGUGGCAUUAAAAUUGCAUUAUAUCAACUUCCCUAAACCUACUAUAAAGAGCAGCUCUAAAUUAGCUGCAGUUCAGUCGGUUAUUAUAAAUAAAAUGUUCAUACCUCAGUUAUGAUUAGUUGCUUUUAAGUUAACCUGAUUAAAUGAACCACCUUUUUAUAGGGUUGCCCCGCCCCCAAAAAACAGGGGUGGUAAUUUCCAACAGUAAUAAUUAAGAAGUCAAGUAUUAAUUCAAAGUAUUAAUUUAAGCGAUGAAUUUAUGAAACAGGUUGUCUAUACUAUUUUGUUAUUAAUAUUAAUAUACCAUGUGGCUCGUGAACAUCUGGAAGAUGUUAUAGAAAGUACAAAUUGAUUCCUAAAAACAAGGAUUGCCUGAUAAUUUUCUCAUGCUUGAGAUUGUUCUGCUUCAAAACGAGCACCCACUGUUUUAAAAUGACCGACAGACAACGUUGGUAAUCUUUAAUAAAUGUGGACAUUUAUUUGUAUUAUUAGCCUUAAAGUUAGGUAUUUAAAAAAAACAUGAAAUUGUUAAUCAUGUACUUUUUGUUUUCCCAGCCCCAUGGACGUUUUGUGUUUCUCUCUUUAACGUUUUGGUUGUUUUAACUUUAGUGUAAUAGGAGAAUGCAUGUGCAUCAUUUGCUGUUGUACAAUAUUAUUCGUAAUUUUUUUUACGGAGAUUAUUUAUAUAAAAUAUGUGGCAUCCUAAAGAUUUCCUAAAAUCGGUUGACCAAAACAUCAUAUCCGCUGCAAACUGCAAGAUCAAUAAACUCAAGUCUAGCAACUGCGGCGGUGGCCGGUGCGCAGUCGACAUCGGCGAGAAAGAAAAAAACUACAUUUGCUGUGGUCCAGCGGAGACUGCCUCCGUACCCGGAGUCUCAAUUUAAACACGGCCCAAUUUCCUCCAAAGCUUUUACCGGAACGUUGACCCCUUUUUUUUUGUCUUUCUUAUUGUCAACCUCUCAAACUCACCUUUCGCUUUUAUUAAAACGAAUGCAGUCAUGGUCAAAUUGUCCGGAAGAGUUAAAUGCAACUUGCUAUUGAAGUAAAUGUUGAAGUACCGUGUACAGCAAAAUUAUUGCUGUAUCAAUAUAUGUAUUCAAUCAAUAUUGAACUAGUCAUUGAAAGAUGACAGCAAGUUCGUUUCCGAAUUGGCCACGGCUGCGGCUGCUGCUGGUGUUGCUAAACGUGGUUCUACCCCCGGAACAGCCAAUUUAGACAUGGCUAACAUUAAGGAAUGAUACUAUUUGCAUAUAUAAAUACAGUUUUCGCAUUGAAACAACAUUUCUAGAAAACUCGAUUUUUGCAAUGAGCUGAGAUUUUCAGCUAGAAUAAUUAUUUGUUUUGUCUGCACUACGAAAGUAACACUAUCGUAGCGCUUUUCAAAAGGGGGAAGUAAGUUUUUGUUUUUAAUCGAUACAAAAAAAGAAAUCCUUUAAAAACAAUCCGGACAAUUUUUGGGGAUGGCAGUUUUAAAGUGCAGAAACAUGUCCUUUCGUGGACAAAUGAUGUGCCUUUCCGAUCAUAGAGGCGUUCAGUAAAAGGUUUUGUUGUUCGUGUGUGUUAUUACAAUUAAUCGUCUUUUAGUAUAUAAUAUUAUAUAAAAACAUAUUCUGUCCUCGCCAAGUCUAUCUUUUCCUAAAUAGCAUAAUAAUAUUCAAUGUAAAGUAAGUUAGUAUUCUAUUGUAAAUAUUCUUUAAUAAAUACCGAUUAAAAACUGCA